GUUAUAGGGACAAGUGAAUAAGUGCACAUGGCGGAUGCCUUGGCGAUUACAGGCGAUGAAGGACGUAGUAGCUUGCGAUAAGCUGCGGGGAGCUAGCAAACAAGCUUUGAUCCGCAGAUUUCCGAAUGGGGAAACCCGGCCCUUAGGGUCAUCACUCACUGAAUACAUAGGUGUGUGAAGCGAACGCGGCGAACUGAAACAUCUAAGUAGCUGCAGGAAAAGAAAUCAACCGAGAUUCCCAAAGUAGUGGCGAGCGAAAUGGGAAGAGCCUGUACGUGAUAGUCGUUUGGAUAGUGGAAUGCUCUGGAAAUGGCAGCCAUAGCGGGUGAUAGCCCCGUACACGAAAUUCAAGCGGUGGUACUAAGCGUACGACAAGUAGGGCGGGACACGAGAAAUCCUGUCUGAAUAUGGGGGGACCAUCCUCCAAGGCUAAAUACUCGUAAUCGACCGAUAGUGAACCAGUACCGUGAGGGAAAGGCGAAAAGAACCCCGGGAGGGGAGUGAAAUAGAUCCUGAAACCGUGUGCAUACAAACAGUAGGAGCCUCCUUGUGGGGUGACUGCGUACCUUUUGUAUAAUGGGUCAGCGACUUACAUUCAGUGGCAAGGUUAACCGAAUAGGGAAGCCGUAGAGAAAUCGAGUCCGAACAGGGCGAUAGUCGCUGGGUGUAGACCCGAAACCAAGUGAUCUACUCAUGGCCAGGAUGAAGGUGCGGUAACACGCACUGGAGGUCCGAACCCACUAAUGUUGAAAAAUUAGGGGAUGAGCUGU
rnacentral:rRNA from 1 species